AUUGAACGCUGGCGGCAGGCCUAACACAUGCAAGUCGAACGGUAACAGGCAGAAGCUUGCUUCUUUGCUGACGAGUGGCGGACGGGUGAGUAAUGUCUGGGAAACUGCCUGAUGGAGGGGGAUAACUACUGGAAACGGUAGCUACUACCGCAUAACGUCGCAAGACCAAAGAGGGGGACCUUCGGGCCUCUUGCCAUCGGAUGUGCCCAGAUGGGAUUAGCUAGUAGGUGGGGUAACGGCUCACCUAGGCGACGAUCCCUAGCUGGUCUGAGAGGAUGACCAGCCACACUGGAACUGAGACACGGUCCAGACUCCUACGGGAGGCAGCAGUGGGGAAUAUUGCACAAUGGGCGCAAGCCUGAUGCAGCCAUGCCGCGUGUAUGAAGAAGGCCUUCGGGUUGUAAAGUACUUUCAGCGGGGAGGAAGGGAGUAAAGUUAAUACCUUUGCUCAUUGACGUUACCCGCAGAAGAAGCACCGGCUAACUCCGUG
rnacentral:rRNA from 1 species